GACGAACGCUGGCGGCGUGCUUAACACAUGCAAGUCGAACGGAAAGGCCCUGCUUUUGUGGGGUGCUCGAGUGGCGAACGGGUGAGUAACCCGUGAGUAACCUGCCCUUGACUUUGGGAUAACUUCAGGUAACUAGGUCUAACACCGGAUAGGAGCUCCUGCUGCAGGGAGGGGGCUGGAAAGUUUGGGCGGUCGGGGUUGGACUCGCGGCUUACCAGCUUGUUGGUGGGGUAGUGGCUUACCAAGGCUUCGACGGGUAGCCGGCCUGAGAGGGUGACCGGCCACAUUGGGACUGAGGUACGGCCCAGACGGCUACGGGAGGCAGCAGUGGGGAAUAUUGCACAAUGGGCGGAAGCCUGAUGCAGCAACGCCGCGUGCGGGAUGACGGCCUUCGGGUUGUAAACCGCUUUCGCCUGUGACGAAGCGUGAGUGACGGUAAUGGGUAAAGAAGCACCGGCUAACUACGUG
rnacentral:rRNA from 1 species